rnacentral:snoRNA from 1 species
UACCUGUGAUGAAGAGAUUCUGCCAAAUGAUUUCUUUGAUUAUAACCCUUACCGUUCCAUUAUUUCUGAGGUU